AAAUGUUAAAUAAUAUUUACAUGCAUGUUACAAUUCAACUGUAUUUUCUGAUUGCAAAAUUCUUAACUUCAUUGGAACUGAACCUCUCUCUCUCUUUUACCUGCUUUGCUAACCUCCUCACCAGCACUGUCCUUACCAGCCUGUCCUCAUAAGCAACAGCCCACCACGAGAAAGACAUUUCUUUGGAUCUUGAAAAUGUUUGCAUUUUAAAAGAAUUCCCUAUUGAAAAAGAGAGGAUGCUAACAUUUCAAAGCAGCAGAGUGGGGGUAGGAAGAGCUAGGUAGGGGAGGGAAGUAACUUGCUCCCUAAACAAGUUCCUUAGUCUCCCUAGGGCUCAGUGGUCUCAUAUGUAAAACAAGGAGGAAGGAAAGAAGAGUAUCCCUCUUAAAGGGUUGUCUAGAGACUGAAAUGAGUCAAUACACGGACUGAAAGCAUUCAGAGGCGUGCCUGAUACAUGGUGAGUCUCACAUUUCACCUUCAUCAUGAUGCAAUGGAGGAUCAUUUUCCCCAUUGUAGUUGAGGAGUGUGAGACUCAGGGUAGGUAGGUAACUUGUUUUAGGACACAAAGCAAGGAAGUAGCAGGAUGAGCUGCAAAUCAAAUCCAAAUCGAUUUGACUCUAAAGACCCUCCCAUGGCAGCGCAAAUUUUCUCUGAGAGGGGAAUCACAUUAGGCCUUAAUUAAAAAAAAAAAAAAAUAGCACUUACUUUUUAAGUAAGUACAAAACGCAAAAGAAAUAAAAGAGUGUACACAGUGAAAAGUAAUUUUUCUCCCUUUCUCUUCUCCCACCCAGUUUCCCCUACGAGAGCCAACAGCUGUUAUGCGCUUCUAGCUUUACAGUAAGCCUUUCACUGCUAAUGCACAUUUAUUUACCAGAUUAAUGUAAUUCCCUGAGUGCCUCACAUGUGGGCUACCACUGCCUUUAGAGGGCUCACUGGCUGAGUCUGGAGGUUAUUUAUGGAGGGACCUGCUAUACUGACCUCUACACUCUGCUUUUUACUCUGCAGCCAUCUUUUUCUCCGGUAGAACCAGCUCGUGCAUUCCGCACACCAGAAAAGGCCAAAUGAGGUGCAGGAAAACACUCUUCUCCAGCUUGGCUUUGCACAGAAUCCAGCGAGUAAGGAGCACUCUGGGGCCAGGAGCCGACCAGAGUACUCUAUGAUGCUGCACAAAUGUAUCACUUCUCUAGGACCAGAUUCCUCCUCCUUGCAACUGGUGACCAUUCCAGGUCUCUAAUCACUCUGCCCCAAGGCCACUUAGGAAGUGCAAUUCUCCAUGAAGUCUUGCUGCUUCUGGGCUCCACUUCCAGCCCGAAGACUCUAGCUGCUCCCCAGUAAAAUAGAGAUGACAAUAUCUACCUCCCAGCUCUACUGUGGGGAUGAAAGAAGAAAUGAAAACCACUUGACACAGUAUCUGGUACCUAAUUGGGACCCAAUAAAUGCUUUACCUCGGACACCCCCGCCUCCCGACCCCGGAUUUCCAGGGGGCUGGGCACUCACGCGCGGAGCUGGAGGCUCGCUCCUCACCAUCAGGGCGCACUGGUAUGUAAGUCAGAGCUCCUCAGUGCCAAAGGGACACCGGCCAAGAACAGAAAACCUUGUAUUAAAUGCAGCUGAAGAAACAAGCGACUGAAAAGGCAGAUUUCCCGGUGUGCCCUGUGGUCUUCCCCCAUUUGACACAUUUACUCACUGUGCAUUUCUACCCCCACCCCCCAAUUUUUUCUUAUUAUGAAAACUCUCAAAGACACGGGAAAGCUUGCUGGUUAGGGAAAUCUAGCAAAAGCCCUAGGGGGGCCUCUUUGAUUUUGUCCAGCUUCUCAGGAAUGCCUGAUAGAGUCUGUCCUCCGGGAACUAUCUGCACCAGGGAUAAUUAAAGUAGGGCCCCUGCUCUGAGAGUUUUUAAAAAAAUUUUACACCUUACAAGGUUUUUUCACAUUCCUGAUCCUGUUAAAAUAAAGUCAGAACUGAAAGGAAAUUUAUAGAUCAUCUCCAGGGUGCAGAUACUUGGUAUAUAUUGUGCAGCUUUCUGAGCUCCUGCCCAGGGUAGACACUGCUAAGCCAUCACUUGCUCACUCAUUCAUUUAUCGAACAUUUACUUAUUGGAUACCCUCCAUGUUCCAUAUAGUAUGUUAAAAAUAAAGCAGGAAACCAGACAGACUUGUUUGCUACUCUUAUGGACCUCUAAGGGGAACAGAGACAUUAAACAAACAAUUACAUGCAUGUAGAGUGUUUUAAAAAGGCAGGUGUGGGCACAGACAAGAGCAUCACACACUGGGAGGUAAUCUAGGGGUGGAAUAGGGUCAGGAAAGGCUUCCUGAGUAAGCAAAGUUUAAUCUGAAGUCUAGGGGGAUUAAGAAACUGAGUCUCUGAGAAGGUGAAAAAAGAAACAUCAUAUACUAGUAUGAACGAUGGCAUGAGUCAGAUGAUGCUAAAUGAGGGGCAGUGGAUACUAAGUUGGGGUAGGUGUCCAGAAGAGAACCAAGAAGUUUGGUUGAGCCAACCUUAAACACAAAAUAGGUUGAGGGAGGAGAUGGGUGAAAGAGCUUGAGCAAAGGUCAGAUAU